UACGGAGGGUGCAAGCGUUGUCCGGAAUCACUGGGCGUAAAGGGUGCGUAGGCGGGUCUUUAAGUCAGGGGUGAAAUCCUGGAGCUCAACUCCAGAACUGCCUUUGAUACUGAGGAUCUUGAGUUCGGGAGAGGUGAGUGGAACUGCGAGUGUAGAGGUGAAAUUCGUAGAUAUUCGCAAGAACACCAGUGGCGAAGGCGGCUCACUGGCCUGAUACUGACGCUGAGGCACGAAAGCGUGGGGAGCAAACAGG
rnacentral:rRNA from 1 species